rnacentral:rRNA from 1 species
ACCUACGGGGGGCAGCAGUGGGGGAUAUUGCACAAUGGGGGGAACCCUGAUGCAGCGACGCCGCGUGGGUGAAGAAGCGCCUCGGCGCGUAAAGCCCUGUCAGCAGGGAAGAAAAUGACGGUACCUGAAGAAGAAGCCCCGGCUAACUACGUGCCAGCAGCCGCGGUAAUACGUAGGGGGCAAGCGUUAUCCGGAUUUACUGGAUGUAAAGGGGGCGCAGACGGCGAUGCAAGCCAGGAGUGAAAGCCCGGGGCCCAACCCCGGGACUGCUCUUGGAACUGCGUGGCGGGAGGGCAGGAGGGGCG